rnacentral:rRNA from 1 species
UACGUAGGGUGCGAGCGUUAAUCGGAAUUACUGGGCGUAAAGCGUGCGCAGGCGGUCUGUUAAGACCGAUGUGAAAUCCCCGGGCUUAACCUGGGAACUGCAUUGGUGACUGGCAGGCUUUGAGUGUGGCAGAGGGAGGUAGAAUUCCACGUGUAGCAGUGAAAUGCGUAGAGAUGUGGAGGAAUACCGAUGGCGAAGGCAGCCCCCUGGGAUGACACGUCGACGCUCGAUGCACGAAAGCGUGGGGAGCGAAACAAGG